ensembl:lncRNA
AACAGCAACAGCAAUUCAUCUUUCCAUUUAUACAAUUUAAGAAACUACACUUAAGGGUGGAGUUACUAACAGUUCUAUAUAUGAUGCAAAAUUAGAUAGAGAAAACAAAUUCAUAGCAAUAACGUGAACUAUAACUGUGUUUAUUUUUUUUUUGUUUGUUUUGUUUUUUUGUUUGCUUUUUAGGUCAUUUUUUUCCAUUUCUGAGGACUUCUUUAAACUUAAACUUAUCUUCCAUCUACACAUUUCCAUUGUCUAGUUUUCAGUUUCAAAACAUCAUAGCAACUUAGCAAGAUAAAGGUCUGAUCACUAUCUAAGGAUCAUGUGUAAAUAUCUGAAUGCAAAUGAUUGUGUCUCACAGGAUGCACACUAUCCCACAUCAAAACACACAGGAAGCACUGCUUGCUGUGCUGCACUGUCCGUGUAUUUAGUUUACAGUAUGUGAGGAACAAAGGUAAUCACUGAUGCAAGAUGAUACUCCUCUGCUGGUGCAUAAUGUUGCUCUGUCUUUCUGUCAAUUCAGAGAGCGUCAUAAUGUGCAAAGAUCCUGGCGGGAACGUCACUUUGAAGUGUUCUUCUGAAAAAUGCCCCCCACUCAUUACUGGAUAUGUUGCCAUGUAUCUGUAUCAUGAACGUACUGGACAAGAAGAAGUGCUUUACUAUAGCAAAGGAUUCAGAUCACCUGACAAUGUAGCACCACGGCAAAGAUACAACGGCAGGAUUCAGACAACAGGAUCUUUUAUGAGCCACAGCAUCACCAUCAGCAACCUGACUGUAGACGACACUGGACUCUACAGCUGUGUCUACGCAAAAGAAGUCAAGUAUCAAGUAAAAUGCGACGUCUAUGCAGUUAUUGUGACAGGAGCAGCAUCAUGCUCGACCACUGCUGAGGAGAAAAGUCCACCACUGGUGUUGAUCAUCACUGCCGUCUGUAUCACUGCUGCCAUCAGCAUGUUGGUGACUCUGAUCUUCAUCCUUGUAAUUUGGCUGACGGUGCAGCAGUGCAGACGCAGCAGAAGAAUAGCAAGAAACAUUCAGUCGCUCUCCCAUGACUAUGUUUAUGAAGUUAUGACCAAGAACGGCUUCCAUCCUGAUGCAGCUCAAGAGGAUUCAUCACCGUAUGAAUUCUUGGCUUGUCAGACAUCUUCUUCCAGAGGGUUGGUUUAAUUUUUUUGUAUAAUGUUGUUUUGCAGGACUCAAUUUACUCAAAAAGUAAUUUUAAUCAACAUAUAUGAGAAAAAAGAUUAAUUCCGGUAACAGAGUCACCAAACUCAAAUGAAUCUUCAUAUUAUGAUGUAUUUUACAUGCAGAGAGUACAAUAGCUGUACAACAGUAAACAAACUAAUAAAAUAAAAUAAAAACUAUAUGAUGAACAGUCAAGAGAUGUUAAAAGAAGUAAAGAAGGAUUAAUAAGUCACUGGAGCACAGGGGUUGAAAUUUGCACAAGUCUGAGCAGUCAGAUUACUGGUUUGUUUGACAUUAAACACAAUCAGUGUGUGCUUUUGGCUUCUAUGAAUAGCCAGAAAGAUCUGGGGCAGAUUUUCAUGAGGGUGUGAAAGUGUGAAACUGUGCAUGUGGGCAAAAACCACACACCUAACAACGAGUGAUCAGAACAGAUGUGUGAGUGGUUUUCAUGUCUGCAUGCAGAACUCUCACAUAAUAUAUUAAUACAAAAAUAAGGAACAUGAAGAAUUUUUGUUGUGUAGCUGGUGAUGAUAAUGUUAUCGUAAUUAAAUGGUAAUGUUGUUAAUAGUGAAUAUUGUGAGAAAAGCAAUGAAUAAUGUUUCCAUCUAUUGUGGUCGCUGUUUGCUGUACUUUUUAAUGCUUUUAUAGCUGUUGUUUUUUCUCCCUGUAAAACAAAGCUACUGACUACCAUGAAUGCUUUUUAUAACUUGCGACAUUGAAUGCAAUUUUUUUGCAAAUAUUUGGAAAGAUAAACAAUGUCAGAAGUGACCUUAAAAAGACUACACACAUUUGGGCUUGUAAGCAAAAGUAGAGUAUUUAAUACUUAAAAAUAGAAAUAUACUUAGCAGCGCUAUUGAUUUUCAUCUUUCAUUCAAAAUCUUCUCACUUUUAUGGCACUGUCAAAUAUGUUUGUUUGGCUUAAUAAUAAAUUUGUUUGUGAGUAAAGGGCAGGACAAAAACACAGCCCAGAUAUACACAAGCAAUAACAGUGAAAGUAGUUUGCGGUGUUCCUCCCACAGUGUCGAAGGCUGUCUCGUUUUAACCACAGCAGUCUGUUAGUAAUGAAGUAUUGUCAGACUGAUAUAGUUCACAUGAGGCCCUUUACCAGGAACAUAAACUGUAUAGAAAAGAUGAACGUAACUUCCAGGUCUGAAAAGUCAAAUCAUUGUGGAAGUGAAUUAAACAUGCAUUCUUUCUCAUGUCCAGCAGGGGGCGACUCCUCUGGCUCUAAAAAUGAGUGUUACUGUAUAAGUCUAUGAGAAGAUCACUCAAUUUUAAUGUUAAUUUUUUCAUGAUUUGUUACAUCAGUCAACAUUUUUAUAAUUUGUUUAUGGACAAAGUUGUGAAUUUUGAGACUUUUUGAAUGGUACUUCUUGUUAAUUUUGUACAUUUGCAUCCUACCUAAUACUAGUAAUACCAUUGCAUCUAUCAAUCUCUUGAGUUAGUUCAGUUAUUUCCUGUUUUUUGCGGUAAAAAUCCCUGUCCUUGUGUGUCUCUUGUUGUUUUACUUCCUUCCUUUGUCUGUUUACGUCCUCUUUUGAUUGCCAUGAUCAGUUUCACCCAUGUCUUGUCUCCAGAAUCAGUUCUCUGCAUAUACGCUUCCCUAUGUCUUCCACAGUCUUUUGUCAGUUUGUCUUGUUUUGGCUCCUGAAUUUAAUGACAACUUACCACCCAUUUGUCAACACUGUUCUCAUUUGUGAUCCUUGUCUGAUCCUGGUUUGUAAAACAUUGAUUUCUCAAGCCCUUGUUUGUGCAUUUUGUACAUUUUUGAGUUUCUUUUUUUUUUUUUUUAUUAAAUGAUUUUAUAUUUUCUUGAUAUUCUCUUUAGACAUUUAGUUUGUGUUUUGAUGUAUCAUCAGCUGCUCUCUGUUGUUCCUUCAGCUCGUGUUAUCUUUUUGGCA